rnacentral:rRNA from 1 species
CCUACGGGUGGCAGCAGUGGGGAAUAUUGCACAAUGGGGGAAACCCUGAUGCAGCGACGCCGCGUGAGUGAAGAAGGAAUUCGGUAUGUAAAGCUCUAUCAGCAGGGAAGAAAAUGACGGUACCUGAGUAAGAAGCCCCGGCUAACGACGUGACAGCAGCCGCGGUAAUACGUAGGGGGCAAGCGUUAUCCGGAUUUACUGGGUGUAAAGGGAGCGUAGACGGGAGUGCAAGUCUGGAGUGAAAGGCGGGGGCUCAACCCCCGGACUGCUCUGGAAACUGUACGCCUGGAGUGCAGGAGAGGUAAGUGGAAUUCCUAGUGUAGCGGUGAAAUGCGUAGAUAUUAGGAGGAACACCAGUGGCGAAGGCGGCUUACUGGACUGUAACUGACGUUGAGGCUCGAAAGCGUGGGGAGCAAACAGGAUUAGAUACCCCAGUAGUC